GACGAACGCUGGCGGCGUGCUUAACACAUGCAAGUCGAACGGAAAGGCCCUUCUUUUUUUGGGUGCUCGGGUGGCGAACGGGUGAGUAACACGUGAGUAACCUGCCCUUGACUUUUGUUUAACUUCAGGAAACUGGGGCUAAUCCCGGAUAGGAGCUCCUGCUUCAUGGUGGGGGUUGGAAAGUUUCGGCGGUUGGGUAUGGACUCGCGGCUUAUCAGCUUGUUGGUGGGGUAGUGGCUUACCAAGGCUUUGACGGGUAGCCGGCCUGAGAGGGUGACCGGCCACAUUGGGACUGAGAGACGGCCCAGACUCCUACGGGAGGCAGCAGUGGGGAAUAUUGCAAAAUGGGCGGAAGCCUGAUGCAGCAACGCCGCGUGCGGGAUGAAGGCCUUCGGGUUGUAAACCGCUUUCGCCUGUGACGAAGCGUGAGUGACGGUAAUGGGUAAAGAAGCACCGGCUAACUACGUG
rnacentral:rRNA from 1 species